rnacentral:lncRNA from 1 species
AGCGGAGCUCUUCGCAGCCUCGGGGACCUGUCCGGACUCACUUUCCCUUCCCUCCGAAACCACCCACCGACGCGGGCCGGGAAACGCUCAGGCCCAAGAUGGGCUCUGAGCGCGAACCAGGGAAGAGCCCGGAUGCUGCUCCUUUCCCGCCCCGGACCGGCGCAGGUCCAUCCAGAGGCGCGAAGCCUGCAGGCCAGGGAAGAGCCCGGAUGCUGCUCCCUUCGUGCUCUGCCUGGGGCCCAGGAAGCAGGAGAAACGGAACGGCGACGUUGGGUCAAGAACUCAGAGGGUGAAGGCUGGGAAGCCAAGGAAGGAAAGCCGUCCUGACCUCGGCGUCGGGGCUCCUCUACAACCCCGCAGGGUCGCGAAGGUCCUGCGGCAUCUCCUCUCGCAGUUGCCGCAGCCUAGCCGGCCGGGGGCAGGCGCUGGUGCCCCCCGCCCGCUCCCCGCAGCCCCAGCAGAGCCGGAGUUCCCGCGGCCGCCGCUGCCCGAGCGACUCGAUCGCCCGAGCCGACCUCUUCCCAAGCCUUGGACAGCUGACCCCUGCGCAUCCUAAAGGAAAGACCCCAUCUGUUCCUCAGAAUGGGAAAAUUCCCGUGCAUACUUUGCCAGAACCGUGUUGCUGAUAUUUCGGGGG